rnacentral:rRNA from 1 species
AGUGAACGCUGGCGGUAGGCCUAACACAUGCAAGUCGAACGGCAGCACAGUAAGAGCUUGCUCUUACGGGUGGCGAGUGGCGGACGGGUGAGGAAUACAUCGGAAUCUACUUUUUCGUGGGGGAUAACGUAGGGAAACUUACGCUAAUACCGCAUACGACCUACGGGUGAAAGCAGGGGAUCUUCGGACCUUGCGCGAUUGAAUGAGCCGAUGUCGGAUUAGAUAGUUAGCGGGGUAAAGGCCCACCAAGGCGACGAUCCGUAGCUGGUCUGAGAGGAUGAUCAGCCACACUGGAACUGAGACACGGUCCAGACUCCUACGGGAGGCAGCAGUGGGGAAUAUUGGACAAUGGGCGCAAGCCUGAUCCAGCCAUACCGCGUGGGUGAAGAAGGCCUUCGGGUUGUAAAGCCCUUUUGUUGGGAAAGAAAAGCAGCAGGUUAAUACCCCGCUGUUCUGACGGUACCCAAAGAAUAAGCACCGGCUAACUUCGUG